UUGUUGUCCAAUAUGUUCCUGUAGUAGUUGUUGUCUAGAAUCAUAGGGGUGCCACGGUCGUUUCUCACGUACUGCACGGCCUUGGGGUCUGGGAUGGCAUCAGGGCACUUCUUCAGCAUGUGAGGGACAUGGUCAGGGUUCAGCGCUGAAUCAAUCUCUGGGUACAAACGGUGCACCAACUUCACACAAUGGGUUCUACCAACACUGUGUGCUCCUGUUCAACAAAAUAUCUCAAUAAUUAAAGCUUAAAUCUGCAACCAAUAACGCCACGUGUUGCUUUUUUUAAUAUUGCAUCAAGUUUCAUACUGAGCCCACAUACAUUUAUGAAACAAUAAAUAUGACUCAUACAGUUUCCUGUGCUAAUUUAUGUAUGCAUUAUGAAUAUGUUUAUGCAGAGAAAUUAUUGCAUAUAUUAUGAAUGAAAGAACAAGUAUGGUGGCACAAGAUUUGCAUAAUGGGGCUUGUCUUUUUGAUGAACGUGUGUAUGUAGAAGAUGGAUUAUGGGAGGAUGUAGAGUAGUUCA
rnacentral:lncRNA from 1 species